ACAUGUAAACUCUAUAAUGAAAACUGUCCCCAGGAAGCCUAGGAGAUCAAAGAACUCCCAGAAACUGACCAGAUUCAGAAGGUGCCUCCCGGGCAGAGUAAGCAGAGCCCAGCGCAGAGGAGACUCAGAUGAGAAGAGCUGCCUGGAAGAGGGUUAGAGCACCAGAGGCCUGGGAAGGAAGAAUGCUCUCCAGCCUGGAUCCUUGGAUCACGGACACAGACUUGCAGAUGACUGUUCUUGCAACCUAACCUCUCUCCCAGGUUGAUUCUACAAAGCAGGGAGCGUGGAUGGGGAACCCAGGUGCUGCAAACACCUUGGAGGCAAAGAUCAUUUCCAGGGCAGUAGGUAAACGCCGGGUCAGUGUGGUUAAACCAGGUCAGUGAGUGAGUGUG
rnacentral:lncRNA from 1 species